rnacentral:rRNA from 1 species
AGAGUUUGAUCCUGGCUCAGGAUGAACGCUGGCGGCGUGCUUAACACAUGCAAGUCGAACGAUGACCCGGUGCUUGCACCGGUGAUUAGUGGCGAACGGGUGAGUAACACGUGAGUAACCUGCCCUUAACUCUGGGAUAAGCCUGGGAAACUGGGUCUAAUACCGGAUAUGACUCCUCAUCGCAUGGUGCGGGGUGGAAAGCUUUAUUGUGGUUUUGGAUGGACUCGCGGCCUAUCAGCUUGUUGGUGAGGUAAUGGCUCACCAAGGCGACGACGGGUAGCCGGCCUGAGAGGGUGACCGGCCACACUGGGACUGAGACACGGCCCAGACUCCUACGGGAGGCAGCAGUGGGGAAUAUUGCACAAUGGGCGAAAGCCUGAUGCAGCGACGCCGCGUGAGGGAUGACGGCCUUCGGGUUGUAAACCUCUUUCAGUAGGGAAGAAGCGAAAGUGACGGUAC